rnacentral:rRNA from 1 species
GGUUUUUUGAUUUUAUAUAAAAUCAGGCCUGCCCAAUGAUUAUAUUUAAUGGCUGCAGUAUUUUGACUGUACAAAGGUAGCAUAAUCAUUUGUUUUUUAAUUGGAAACUGGAAUGAAAGGUUUUAUGAGGGAUAAUCUUUCUUUUUUAUAAUAAAUUAAAUUAAUUUUUAAGUGAAAAAGCUUAAAUUAUAUUAUAGGACGAGAAGACCCUAUAGAACUUUAUUAAAAAUUUUUAAUUAUUAUUUGUAGGUUUAAUAGUAAUAUUAACUUUUUUAAUUUUGUUGGGGUGACAGAAAAAAUUUAAUAACUUUUUUUAAUUUCAGACAUAAAUUUAUGUUAUGAUCCUUUAUUAAAGAUAAUAAGAUUAAGUUACCUUAGGGAUAACAGCGUUAUUAUUUUGUAGAGUACUAAUCGAUAAAAUAGUUUGCGACCUCGAUGUUGGAUUAAAAUUAAUGAUAGGGGUAGGUUUUUAUCAAUUAGGUCUGUUCGACCUUUAAUUUUUUACA